GGCGCGCGCGGCGGCCGGGCUGGACCUUGCUGGCCCGCGGCGCCAUGAGCCGCAGCCUGGACUCGGCGCAGAGCUUCCUGGAGCGGCUGGAAGCGCGGGGCGGCUGGGAGGGGGCAGUUCUCGCCGGCGAGUUCAGCAAAAGGUGUGAGCGGUACUGGGCCCAGGAGCAGGAGCCACUGCAGACCGGGCUUUUCUGCAUCACUCUGAUAAAGGAGAAGUGGCUGAAUGAGGACAUCAUGCUCAGGACCCUCAAGGUCACAUUCCAGAAGGAGUCCCGUUCUGUGUACCAGCUACAGUAUAUGUCCUGGCCAGACCGUGGGGUCCCCAGCAGUCCUGACCACAUGCUUGCCAUGGUGGAGGAAGCCCGUCGCCUCCAGGGAUCUGGCCCUGAACCCCUCUGUGUCCACUGCAGGUUUGGGAAAUGGGCUUCAGGAGGGUCUGGUGAGGCAGA
rnacentral:sRNA from 1 species